rnacentral:rRNA from 1 species
GAUGAACGCUGGCGGCGUGCCCAAUACAUGCAAGUCGAGCGAACAGACGAGGAGCUUGCUCCUCUAACGUUAGCGGCGGACGGGUGAGUAACACGUGGAUAACCUACCUAUAAGACUGGGAUAACUUCGGGAAACCGGAGCUAAUACCGGAUAAUAUAUCGAACCGCAUGGUUCAAUAGUGAAAGACGGUUUUGCUGUCACUUAUAGAUGGAUCCGCGCCGCAUUAGCUAGUUGGUAAGGUAACGGCUUACCAAGGCGACGAUGCGUAGCCGACCUGAGAGGGUGAUCGGCCACACUGGAACUGAGACACGGUCCAGACUCCUACGGGAGGCAGCAGUAGGGAAUCUUCCGCAAUGGGCGAAAGCCUGACGGAGCAACGCCGCGUGAGUGAUGAAGGUCUUCGGAUCGUAAAACUCUGUUAUUAGGGAAGAACAAAUGUGUAAGUAACUAUGCACGUCUUGACGGUACCUAAUCAGAAAGCCACGGCUAACUACGUG